AUUGAACGCUGGCGGCAGGCCUUACACAUGCAAGUCGAACGAGUGGCGGACGGGUGAGUAAUGUCUGGGAAAGUGCCUGAUGGAGGGGGAUAACUACUGGAAACGGUAGCUAAUACCGCAUACCAUUAGAUCUGCCCAUAUGGGAUUAGCUAGUGGGUGGGGUAAUGGCUCACCUAGGCGACGAUCCCUAGCUGGUCUGAGAGGAUGACCAGCCACACUGGAACUGAGACACGGUCCAGACUCCUACGGUAGGCAGCAGUGGGGAAUAUUGGACAAUGGGCGGAAGCCUUGUGCAGCCAAGCCGCGUGUGUGAAGAAGGCCUUCGGGUUGUAAAGCACUUUCAGCGAGGAGGCGUUACUCGCAGAAGAAGCACCGGCUAACUCCGGUCCAGCAGCCGCGGUAAUUC
rnacentral:rRNA from 1 species